GGAAGUAAAAGUCGUAACAAGGUCUCCGUUGGUGAACCAGCGGAGGGAUCAUUACCGAGUUUACAACUCCCAAACCCCUGUGAACAUACCAAUUGUUGCCUCGGCGGAUCAGCCCGCUCCCGGUAAAACGGGACGGCCCGCCAGAGGACCCCUAAACUCUGUUUCUAUAUGUAACUUCUGAGUAAAACCAUAAAUAAAUCAAAACUUUCAACAACGGAUCUCUUGGUUCUGGCAUCGAUGAAGAACGCAGCAAAAUGCGAUAAGUAAUGUGAAUUGCAGAAUUCAGUGAAUCAUCGAAUCUUUGAACGCACAUUGCGCCCGCCAGUAUUCUGGCGGGCAUGCCUGUUCGAGCGUCAUUUCAACCCUCAAGCCCUCGGGUUUGGUGUUGGGGAUCGGCGAGCCCUUGCGGCAAGCCGGCCCCGAAAUCUAGUGGCGGUCUCGCUGCAGCUUCCAUUGCGUAGUAGUAAAACCCUCGCAACUGGUACGCGGCGCGGCCAAGCCGUUAAACCCCCAACUUCUGAAUGUUGACCUCGGAUCAGGUAGGAAUACCCGCUGAACUUAAGCAUAUCAAUAAGCGGAGG
rnacentral:rRNA from 1 species